AUACGGAAGGUCCGGGCGUUAUCUGGAUUUAUUGGGUUUAAAGGGAGCGCAGGCGGAGAUGCAAGCGUGACGUCAAAUUUCGGGGCUCAACCCCGUCUCGCGUCGCGAACUGCGUCCCUUGGUUGCGGGAAGGGGAGGCGGAACUCGUGGUGUAGCGGUGAAAUGCAUAGAUAUCACGAAGAACUCCGAUCGCGAAGGCAGCCUUCCGGCCCGUCAACGACGCUCAUGCUCGAAGGUGCGGGUAUCAAACAGGAUUAGAUACCCUGGUAGUCCGCACAGUAAACGAUGGACACCCGCGGUUUGGCCUGUAUGGCUGAGCCGCCAAGCGAAAGCGUUAAGUGUCCCACCUGGGGAGUACGCCGGCAACGGUGAAACUCAAAUGAAUUGACGGGG
rnacentral:rRNA from 1 species